rnacentral:rRNA from 1 species
UACAGAGGUCUCAAGCGUUGUUCGGAUUUAUUGGGCGUAAAGGGUGCGCAGGCGGUGUGGUAAGUUUGGUGUGAAAUCCUGGGGCUCAACCCCAGAAUUGCACUGAAUACUGCCAUGCUAGAGGACUGGAGAGGAGAUUGGAAUUCACGGUGUAGCAGUGAAAUGCGUAGAUAUCGUGAGGAAGACCAGUGGCGAAGGCGAAUCUCUGGACAGUUCCUGACGCUCAUGCACGAAGGCCAGGGGAGCAAACGGG